AUACUCUGGUUUCUCUUCAGAUUGAAAAAAUCUUUCGCCUUUUACUAGAGAUUUCCGUGGGGAGGAGUGCCCUGAGUUUCGAUCCAAUUUUUUGAUGCCCCGCUCCGGCAAGGUC
rfam:Alligator sinensis unplaced genomic scaffold scaffold781_1, whole genome shotgun sequence